UACGUAGGGCGCAAGCGUUGUCCGGAAUUAUUGGGCGUAAAGAGCUCGUAGGCGGUCUGUCGCGUCCGUUGUGAAAACUGGAGGCUCAACCUCCAGCCUGCAGUGGGUACGGGCAGACUAGAGUGCGGUAGGGGAGAUUGGAAUUCCUGGUGUAGCGGUGGAAUGCGCAGAUAUCAGGAGGAACACCGAUGGCGAAGGCAGAUCUCUGGGCCGUAACUGACGCUGAGGAGCGAAAGCAUGGGGAGCGAACAGG
rnacentral:rRNA from 1 species